AUGGCUCCCCUGCUCCUGGCUACGGCGGACUCCAUGGAAGCACAACCCAAAGCAACCGAGAUCGGUCGAUCCGAGGAGCAUGACGCGCGCUCUGUAUCGCAGACGCUGUUCUGCGCGCUCCUGCCGGCGUGCGUCACCUCGCGCGCGCUCUUCGAGCCUGCAGGUUCCGACUACAUCGGCCUGGCGAUCUACACCGGCCUGCUGUUCGUCACGGCGGUUACGUACGCCGGCAUGUUCUCGUCCAGCAAGGCGAGCAGCGGCAAGGCCUCCCUGCGCGUCGCGGCAUGCGCCGCCAUCGCCGUCAUGACCGUCGCGGCGUCAUCGCAGCUCUCCGGGAGAGCGCAUGUUGCUGCCGCUGCUUUCAUGGGUGUGGCAACGAGCUUGAUCGUGGCCAUUGCCAUCUGA
rnacentral:rRNA from 1 species